GCUGGCGGCAUGCCUUACACAUGCAAGUCGAACGGCAGCACGGAGAGCUUGCUUUCUGGUGGCGAGUGGCGAACGGGUGAGUAAAGUAUCGGAACAUAUCCUGUGGUGGGGGAUAACUCUUCGAAAGGAGGGCUAAUACCGCAUGAACUCUGAGGAGUAAAGUUGGGGAUCUUAGGACCUGACGCCGUGGGGGUGGCUGAUAUCGGAUUAGCUAGUUGGUGGGGUAAAGGCUUACCAAGGCGACGAUCCGUAGCGGGUCUGAGAGGAUGAUCCGCCACACUGGAACUGAGAGACGGUCCAGACUCCUACGGGAGGCAGCAGUGGGGAAUUUUGGACAAUGGGGGAGACCCUGAUCCAGCAAUGCCGCGUGAGUGAAGAAGGCCUUCGGGUUGUAAAGCUCUUUCGCUUAGGAAGAAAGCUUUUAUAUGAAUAGUGUAGAAGUAUGACGGUACUAAGAGAAGAAGCACCGGCUAACUACGUGCCAGCAGCCGCGGUAAUACGUAGGGUGCGAGCGUUAAUCGGAAUUACUGGGCGUAAAGCGUGUGCAGGUGGUUUUAUAAGACAGUUGUGAAAUCCCCGGGCUUAACCUGGGAAUGGCGGCUGUGACUGUAAGGCUAGAGUAUGGCAGAGGGGGGUGGAAUUCCACGUGUAGCAGUGAAAUGCGUAGAGAUGUGGAGGAACACCGAUGGCGAAGGCAGCCCCCUGGGCUGAUACUGACACUCAUACACGAAAGCGUGGGGAGCAAACAGGAUUAGAUACCCUGGUAGUCCACGCCCUAAACGAUGUCAACUAGGUGUUGGUCGGGUUAAACCGAUGAGUACCGAAGCUAACGCGUGAAGUU
rnacentral:rRNA from 1 species